UACGUAGGGGGCGAGCGUUGUCCGGAAUGAUUGGGCGUAAAGGGCGUGUAGGCGGCACAGUGUGUCUGAAGUGGAAGUCCGGUUUUCAAGACCGGAAUUGCUUUGGAAACUGCUGAGCUUGAGUGCAGGAGAGGUUAUCGGAAUUCCCGGUGUAGCGGUGAAAUGCGUAGAGAUCGGGAGGAACAUCAGUGGCGAAGGCGGGUAACUGGACUGCAACUGACGCUGAGGCGCGAAAGUGUGGGGAGCAAACAGG
rnacentral:rRNA from 1 species